GUCCCGUACGAUCAUCAAAGUUAAGCAACUUCGAGCCUGGUCAGUACCUAGAUAGGUGACCGCCCGAGAAUACAAUGUGCUGUAAG